UAGUAAGAAGUAAAUGUUACAUUUAGUUUCGACCUAAUUAUAGGGGAUAAUUACCCCCUUACUUU
rnacentral:tRNA from 1 species